CGGGGGACAGGGUGACAGGUGGUGCAUGGUUGUCGUCAGCUCGUGUCGUGAGAUGUUGGGUUAAGUCCCGCAACGAGCGCAACCCCUAUUGUUAGUUGCCAUCAUUCAGUUGGGCACUCUAGCGAGACUGCCGGUAAUAAACCGGAGGAAGUGGGGAUGACGUCAAGUCCUCAUGGCCCUUAUGGGUAGGGCUUCACACGUCAUACAAUGGUCGGUACAGAGGGUUGCCAAGCCGCGAGGUGGAGCCAAUCCCAGAAAGCCGAUCGUAGUCCGGAUUGUUCUCUGCAACUCGAGAGCAUGAAGUCGGAAUCGCUAGUAAUCGCGGAUCAGCAUGUCGCGGUGAAUACGUUCCCGGGUCUU
rnacentral:rRNA from 1 species